CAUCAGCGGCCGCGGGCGCCGCUGCCCCUUUGUGGUUAUAAAGGGGCUCCUCGCGCCUUGUGCGAUGCCUGCGCCCGAGCCCCACGAGGCCAGGCAAACAGGCAGGGAGGCCACUGGAGGGCGAACUUGAGAGAACGGCCCCGCUCCGUCCCUGUGCAGAUAAGUAAACAGAUGCCAGAAAGGAGAAAUGAUUCAGGUCAAGACUGCAGAGCCAGCUGGACCAUCCUUACUUCUGCUGCCUUGCCUGGCUGUUGGGUUGAUCAUCCUUUUUGAGACUCCGUAUCCCCAGCCCCCAGCUUGCAUGUAUUCCAUACUUCAGGCCUAGUAUGUUAUCUGACGUGCAAGAACCCUACUACAUACUCAGGGCUCUCAUUAUCCUUGGCCUUCAAAGUGAAUCCAACUUCUCAAAAUGUUCUGUUGCCUUCUAUUUCUGGAUUCCCCACAAAAGCAAACUCAGGUGGAGGGAGUAGAAUAAAGAAGAGGUUGGGAUCGAGGGUGGCAAAUCGCAUAGAUGGGCUACUUGCUAGAAUCUGUUGGUUUGGCUUACCUGGAAAGAGGCAGUUUUGAAGUCGUCAUAGUGGGAAGAGGAGAUUGGGGAGGAUCACCAUUACUGGCAGUGACAACUUCCUCCACUUUAUUAACUCUUUCCCUUUAACUUGUCUUUUUUUUUUUUAAGAUUUACUUAUUUAUGGCUGUGGUGGGUCUUCACUGCUGCGCACAGGCUUUCUCUAGUUGCAGUGAGCACGGGCUUCUCCUUAUGGUGUGUUCUCUUGUUGUGGCACAUGAGCUUAGUUGCUCCAUGACAUGUGGAAUCCUUCUAGACCAGGGAUCAAACCAGUGUCCUUUGCAUUGCAAAGUGUAUUCUUAACUCCAGACCAUCAAGAAAGCCCCUCUUUUCUCCUUAAUCACUAGAGAGAAGGAUCAUAAGUCCCUAGAAUGUCCAGGGCCUAUUAGAGUUUACACCUAAUCUUUCAAAUUUUCAUUCUAUCAUCCUCCCCAAAACCCAUGUUUAGGUUGGCAAAGGAAGUGAAAGACAUAGCCUUCCCUCCUUUGCUUUCUGCUUUAACAUCAAAUGACCUCAUCUUUUAAUGCCACCCAGUAAUGAGGUCACCAGGUGGUACUGGCUAGAACUUGAAGUUUUUCCCAUAUUCUGAGGAUUUUCUUGACACCCACCAUACCAGCUGUUUGGGAAUUAGGCAUCAGCAUGCAGAACUAUGAUCAGGGAACUAGAGUCUGCCUCCACUGUGUACCCCCAAGAUCCAAGGGCAAAAUGCUAGGUCUUUUGAUUCUAAAAUCCAUUUUCUUUCCAUUGUAUCAAUGCCUCUUAUAUUAAUGCCAAAUAUACAUUCAUUUUUGUGCCAGGUGCUUCCCUUCCUCUGGUCUUUAGGGGAGAAUGGUGGGGGGCAAGGAAGAAAGAGGACAAAGACAGACUCUUCCGCCAGAACGCCUCUGGAGGGUGAGCACCACUGGCUCUGGAGGAGUCUUCCCACUCUCAGGAGUAGCCAGCUGCGGUUUGCUGAGUCUGUAAGAACAGUGUAAGUGAUAUCCUUGGAUGCUCUUGUGAGGAGGAAGUCUUCAUCUUCCCUUUC